rnacentral:rRNA from 1 species
GGGGGGGGGGGGGGGGGGGGGGGGGGGGGGGGGGGGGGGGGGGGGGGGCCGGCGGGGGGGGGGUGCGCGAGGGGCGGACGGGUGGGUAACGCGGGGGUACCCUGGCCUUGACGGUGGGAGAACUUCAGAAAACUGGGGCUAAGCCCGGACAGGCGCUCCUGCGGCAUGGUGACGGUUGGCAAGUUUCGGCGGUUGGGGAUGGUCUCGCAGCGUAUCAGAUUGUUGGUGGGGUAGUUGCUUACCCAGGCUUUGCGGGGUAGCCUGCCUGGGAGGGUGACCGGCCACGUUGGGAUUGAGCUACGGCCCAGCCUCCUACGGGGGGCAGCAGUGGGGAGUUUUGCACAAUGGGCGGAAGCCUGAUGCAGCAACGCCGCGUGCGGGAUGUCGGCCUUCGGGUUGUAAACCGCUUCCGCGUGUGUCGAAGCGUGAGUGACGGUAAUGGGUAAAGAAGCACCGGCUAACUACGUG